AGAGCUGAUCAAGGGAACCUCAACAAACAACCCCAGCCAUGGAGGCGGCGGUGUCUUUGAAGACCCCAUGAGAGCAUCAAACAAGGGAGAGAGCCUGGAACAAAUCAUGGUAGUAAAAUGGCGGCAGAGAGCUAGUAAUGUGUCUGCAAUUGGUGGGUUCUUGGUCGCACUGACUUCAAGAAUGAAGCCGCGGACCCUCACGUUUGCUGGGAUAACUUUUGGUCGUUUGUACAUAUGGCUCUGGAGGUGGCAAAUCGGAAAUCGGAUGGAAGUAGAAUCUGCUUUCCCACUCAUCUGGGAAGAGAAACAAGCAGUAUCUUCAGUGACAGACAAUGUGCUAUGAAGACUUACGUAACGAAAGGCACAGAAUGAAAGAGAGAGAGAACCACAGACAUCAGUGCUAGUUUUUAUGCCUAGAAGUUUACAGAAAAGCUGGAAGUGCUACAAAGGUCACGAAUUAGUACACUGACAUAUAUACAGGCCUGCAAAUCAAAGCAAAGUGGUUUUAGUGAGAGUGAUUAGGAUCCAGCCAGUCCCUCUUAGGAGCUGGGGGCUAAGGUAUGGGACACCUUUUUCCCCAUUGAUAACAAUGGCAGAGAUAGGCAACUUAGUAUCUGCAGGCCGUCAGGCCUCUUACCUACAGUGAACUGUUUAGAAAUGUACAUAAUAAGAAGCUAUAAAAAGAUUCUUUUCAGAAUCCUGGAAUCUCUGGAAAGUUAACUAAAAUGAGACCCAAACAAAGAACAGAUCAGGGAAAAAUGAUCCGCCUUUUUGGGAAGUGGGGAAGGGGGAUUACUAUUUUUAAUUUGAAAUCAUGGUGGGCCUUAGAAUGGUUAGAUAGUUAGAUCAGUGCAAUGGAGUGUGAUAAUGAUGGAACAAGAAAUUAAACGCAAACAAGCAAACCACAUAUACAAACAGAUUUACCAUUUAGUUGCUGCCCUAUAGCCCAGGGAGCUGGGACCACACCUCACCUUCACAUGGAGAGUCUUGGAAGC
rnacentral:lncRNA from 1 species